rnacentral:rRNA from 1 species
CUGAGAGUUUGAUUCUGGCUCAGAACGAACGCUGGCGGAAGGCUUAACACAUGCAAGUCGAGCGCGCCCUUCGGGGUGAGCGGCAGACGGGUGAGUAACGCGUGGGAACGUGCCCUUUGGUUCGGAAUAGCCCUUGGAAACGAGGAGUAAUGCCGAAUGAGCCCUUCGGGGGAAAGAUUUAUCGCCAAAGGAUCGGCCCGCGUUAGAUUAGCUAGUUGGUGAGGUAACGGCUCACCAAGGCGACGAUCUAUAGCUGGUCUGAGAGGAUGAUCAGCC